rfam:Picea glauca, whole genome shotgun sequence.
UUGAGCCGUAUGCAGGGGAACUCGCACGUGCAGUUCUUGGGGGGGGGAAAUCUUGUAAGAGCCUACCCAUUCCAAU